rnacentral:lncRNA from 10 species
CCUCUUGCUCACCCUUGACUUGGAAAAACCAGUUUCUCUUUUAUUGUCUGUUACUAAUCUCUAUUCUAAAAAUUCAGCUCAAUUCUCAACCAUACUCCAAACUCUCUCUUUUCCAGCUACCUUUACUCCCUCUCCUUCAAUUCCACUUUCCUCUGCUUACUUUUUUUUUUUUUCUGACAGGGUCUCACUUUGUCGCCCGGGCAGGAGUGCAGUGGCUCAAUCUUGGGCUCACUGCAGCCUCAACCUCCCAGAGGCGGGGUUUCACCAUGUUGCCCAGACUGGUCUUGAACUCCUGAGCUUAAGCAAUCCACCUGCCUCGGCCUCCCAAAGUGUUGGGAUCACAGGCGUGAGCCACCGCAUCCGGCCUCAUGUUCUUUUUCAUUAAAGAGAGAAAUCAACUAUUCAGGACCGGCCCCCACCUUUCCUCAGGAGUCAUUUCUGUUCCGCACAGGCCUGCUGAACUGGGUGCUUUAUAUAGGAAAGGACCAACCACACCGAGCUCAGUUAUGGCACACACAGUGGGACCUAGACAAAGGGAGAGGGUGACCGACAUCCCAACUAGAUUUCAGUGGAGUGAAGUUCAGGAGGCAUGGAGCUGACAACCAUGAGGCCUCGGCAGCCACCGCCACCACCGCCGCCGCCACCACCGUAGCAGCAGCAGCAGCAGCAGCAGCAGCAGCAGCAGCAGCAAGAGUAACUCUGACUUAGGAAUAGAGACAGCCAGAGAGAAAUGUGAUCAAUGAAGGAGACAUCUGGAGUGUGCGUGCUUCUUCAGAGGGACGGGUGAUGGGCAGAUUGGAAAAAGCACCGCAGAUGGGAACCUUAAUCUUUCUUUUCUAAAAUUGAUGCUAUGAAAAUUUGCGUUUUCUGUAACUUGUAAAAACUAAAAGUUGCUUGUCUACUGAAAA